rnacentral:misc_RNA from 1 species
AGCAGCCGCGGUAAUUCCAGCUCCAAUAGCGUAUAUUAAAGUUGUUGCAGUUAAAAAGCUCGUAGUUGAAUUUCGGGAUCAAAGAAUCGGUCAUGCCUUGGUAUGUACUGGUUUUAUUGGUUCUCACCUUCUAAAGAACCAUGAUGUCAUUCAUUUGAUGUUAUGGGGAAUUAGGACUGUUACCUUGAAAAAAUUAGAGUGUUUAAAGCAAGCUUACGCUUGAAUACAUUAGCAUGGAAUAAUGAAAUAGGACAUCAGAUUCUAUUUUGUUGGUUUCUAGGAUCGAUGUAAUGAUUAAUAGGGAUAGUUGGGGGCAUUAGUAUUCAAUUGUCAGAGGUGAAAUUCUUGGAUUUAUUGAAGACUAACUACUGCGAAAGCAUUUGCCAAGGAUGUUUUUCAUUAAUCAAGAACGAAAGUUAGGGGAUCGAAGACGAUCAGAUACCGUCGUAGUCUUAACCAUAAACUAUGCCGACUAGGGAUCGGAUGAUGUUAAUUUUUUUAAUGACUCAUUCGGCACCUU